AUGGGCCAUGUUCGAACCAAAACUGUGUAGCGGGUGGCCUGGGUCAUCAUUGAGAAGCAUUACAUGCACCUGGGCAACGACUUCCACACAAUCAUGUGUAUGAGAAGAUUGCCAUUAUUCCCAGCAAGAAACUCUGCAACAAGAUAGCCAGCUAUGUCAUGUAUUAUCUGAUGAAGCGAAUCCAGAGGGGCCCAGUGAGAGAGGCAUCUUCAUCAAGUUGCAGGAGGAGGAGAGCAAAAGGAGGGGCAAUUACCUUCCAGAGGUCUCAGCCUUGGAUCAGGAGAUCACUGAAGUAGAUCCUGACACUAAGGAAAUGCUGAAGCUUUUGGACUUUGGCAGUCUGUCCAACCUGCAGGUCACUCAACCUAUAGUUGGGAUGAACUUCAAAAUGCCUCGUGGAGCUGUUUGAAUCUUUCUGUGAUGCUAUAAUAUUUUC